rnacentral:misc_RNA from 1 species
GUCAAAACUCCUGCACUAAACAAGAAAUGGCAGUAAUUUGAAGUGGUGCUUCAUGCCCUAAACUAGCAUUGUUUGUGAAUUUCUUUACCUCCAGUCCGUCUCAUAACAAACCUAGUGGUUUUAUGCUGCACGUGCGCCAACUCACCUUCAUUGGUAGCACUAUGGAUAAGCAAGGCAACUUGAUUUCAAUCUAUGUUGGUACUUGUUAGGGUAUGGUUCUGGAAUUUUUCUGAUGCAGAUUAGGCUUAUACCAAAGAUGUGGAGACGUCUCUAAGAUAUGGAAGAGAUUGCAAAGCUCUGAGAAUCCAUGCCAA